rnacentral:pre_miRNA from 1 species
CGCGCCUCGCCUGAUGCUCCUUCCUCCGGCGGCUGGGCUGAGCUGCGUCGCGCUUGGAUUUUUGCCUCCGAAUUGGCGAAUUCUCUUCUCUCGCGCGUGGCCUUGGGUGUGGGGCAAAGUUUGGCUCGCUUUGUAGUUUGCGGCGAUUGCGGGUGGGCGUGAGAAUUUAAAAGGGGAGGG